AAAAACGCAAAAUUAAAGUCGUAGAUCCCUCGCCGGCGAGAAAUUGAAACGAAAGAUUGAAAAUUGAAAUUAUCAAGAGAUGAAGAACGCCGGCGUGAUCGCUGCCUCCGUCGCCGCCUUUUUCUCGGUGGCGAUCAGUUCCAAGUCCGAUCUCUACGUAAAGCUCCCUUCCAAUUCUAAAGAGGGUUCGGGAUCGAGAAGGGGAGUUGAAAGCGAGAAAUUUGCUCCCAAACUUGAUGGGUUGAGAUUCAUCGAGACGCUGGUGACGACGCACAGAUGAGGAUGACGUACGUCGGAAUUCGCCGUUAAGUUUGACUUUUCUUCGUUUUCGAGGGAGAUGAGUUGGCGUUAUGUUGGAUUUUUAUUUUUAUUUUCCUUCUUUUUUGAAAAUCGAAAAGGAAAUUGAGAGAUGGUGAUUCGCGGUGGUGAGAGCAUCUCCAACAGCUUCCCCAUUUUAUUGGUAUUCUUACUUUUGGAAAAUUUUGGGUUUUUUUUUGAUCCAACAGAUUCCCCAUCCCAUUCCCCAAAAUAGGGAUGGAGGAGGAAAAAAGAGGAGUUUUCCCCAAAUCUGGGCAUUCUUUAAAUAUUUGGGGAAAGCUUGGUCAUGAAUGCAGCACGUUCUUCAAGACGGGAUGGAGGAGAAAAUAAAUAUAAAAUAAAAUCCGUAAUUACAAAAAAAAAUUAUGGGGGCAGUUCCAAUGCAUAAGAGCAUCCAAAAAUAGGAAUGUACAAUAUUUUUAUUAUUGUAAUAAAUGUAGGAUUCUUCAAAAUGAAGAAGCUGUUGGAGUUGGAGCAAAAAUAAUUUGGAGAAUAUGACUUUUGCUUCCUCAUUUUGGAGAAAAUUUUAGGAAAACUAUUGGAGAUGCUCUGAGAGCACGGUAAGUUUUGUUGAGUUCGAACUGUGAAGUACGUGAGUUGAGUAAUUAGAAUAUUUCGGAUGUUUUCUCUAUCUAUACAGAAACAAAAAUAAGUAAAUAAAUAAUGAAAGGAAAAAAUUAUAAUC